CCUUUUGUAAAAAUAUAUCUGCCAUGCCUCGAACGGUGGCUUGCUCCUCGUAAGGGACUCGUCGUGAGAAGAGGAUGCAGACUCCCAGUGUGCGUCUAUCUUGGUUGUGGCUGAAGUAUCCCGUUGGGUAGUUGCGGUCUUUUAGAGCUGGUGCUCUGCCCUCCUGGAAGUGCGUUUCUUGGAUGAACGCUAUUGUUGCUUUGUAGUGUUUUAGGUCCCUUAGCAAUCUUGUUCGUUUCUCCCUAACAUUUAGGCCUAG